rnacentral:sRNA from 1 species
GAGUAGCGUUCCCAUAUGGAGAAGAAGAAGAAGAAUAAGAAUCUAUCUUGUUCUGCUCUGUUUGGUCACCAAGUAGUAGUGGCUCUGUGAUUCCGCUGGAUUUUAAGAAGACCAAAACCGGUUUUGCCUCUGAUUGAAACAGCCAACAAGAACAAGGAUGCAAGAAGACCAGUCAAGUCGGCAUAAUCUUGAAACCCGAGAGGCUCGUGUUUCGCGGUAAUGAAAUGAGCAUCAAAGGCAAAGGAUAAGAUGAAACGACAGAGCCACCAUGACCUUAACAUCCAAGGAAACUUAACAAGCCUCUUCUCUCUGAUCUUCAUCACAACAACAGAAACAAUCAGCCACGAGAAAGACUGCGAAACCUCAGCGAAGACAGAAACAGAGGAAUCACACCGUGACACCACGCUGUCUCGAAACAGCAAAAGCAAGAUAAAGCAAUGAGUCCCUAAGACAGAAACAGAGCAGAGAAGAGAUAUGUUGUAAGAUAAGCUCUGCUUCAC